AACAAACUUAUAUCAAGGACUAUGGACAUGAAUGGGGAGUUUGAAACCAAGUCCUGGGUAGAAAGGAUCAUCAUUAUAGGCCUGCCAAAGGCUCCAACUACAGUCACUAUAGAUGGCGUCAGAGAUAUCAUGAUAGACAAGAAGAACCUGGAGUUCCGCUACACGCCCGACACGCAGACUCUGGUGAUCAGGAAACCAGCCGUCAACGUGGCACAGAACUGGAGCAUCACCCUACAAUAACCUGCCAUGCUGCUACAUGGGGGGGACAGGGGAGAGGGGCUCAGAUCUUACUUAUGUGGCAAUAGAUAAUGACAAGUCCAUAUAGUUAACCCAGUUCUUGGCAGGCGUGGCUGGGAUGAGAUACCUUGUG